rnacentral:rRNA from 1 species
GACUCGAAUGAGCCUACCGAAUGGAAUGAGUACAAUCCAAAACACUUAACGAGGAUCAAUUGGAGGGCAAGUCUGGUGCCAGCAGCCGCGGUAAUUCCAGCUCCAAUAGCGUAUACUAAAGUUGUUGCAGUUAAAAAGCUCGUAGUUGAACCUCGGGCCACAGGCUGGUGGCAGGCAUCUGUCUCGCCCCGGCGGGUGGUCCUCCUCGCGGGAAACGUGGGUUGCCUUCACUGGCCGCUCACGGGAACCGUGACGUUUACUUUGAAAAAAUUAGGGUGUUCAAAGCAGGCGUUCGCUUGAAUACAUUAGCAUGGAAUAAUGGAAUAGGGCUUCAGUCCUAUUUUGUUGGUUUUCGGGAUCCGAAGCAAUGAUUAAUAGGGAUAGUUGGGGGCGUCAAUAUUUGAUUGUCAGAGGUGAAAUUCUUGGAUUUAUGAAAGAUUAACUUCUGCGAAAGCAUUCGCCAAGGAUGUUUUCAUUAAUCAAGAACGAAAGUGGGGGGAUCGAAGACGAUCAGAUACCGUCGUAGUCUCCACUAUAAACGAUGCCAAGUCGGGAUCGGUGGAUGAUGAUACCAAAUGUCUCCAUCGGCACCGUACGAGAAAUCAAGACUUUUUGGGUUCCGGGGGGAGUAUGGUCGCAAGGCUGAAACUUAAAGGAAUUGACGGAAGGGCACCACCAGGAGUGGAGCCUGCGGCUUAAUUUGACCCAACACGGGGAAACUCACCAGGUCAGGACAUAGGAAGGAUUGACAGAUUGAUAGCUUUUUCUUGAUUCUAUGGGUGGUGGUGCAUGGCCGUUCUUAGUUGGUGGAGCGAUUUGUCUGGUUAAUUCCGAUAACGAACGAGACCUCAGCCUGCUAAAUAGACACGCGAUCCUUCCGGAUCGUGGCUUCUCGUCUUCUUAGAGGGACCCUCGGUAUCUAGCCGGAGGAAGUUUGAGGCAAUAACAGGUCUGUGAUGCCCUUAGAUGUCCUGGGCUGCACGCGCGCUACACUGACGUGGGCAUCGAGUUCACCGAAUUGUCCUUCCUCGACAGAGGUGGGUAAUCUUGUGAAACCACGUCGUGAUGGGGAUAGAUCAUUGCAAUUAUUGGUCUUCAACGAGGAAUUCCUAGUAGGCGCAUUUCAUCAGAAUGCGCCGACUACGUCCCUGCCCUUUGUACACACCGCCCGUCGCUACUACCGAUUGAAUGGCUUAGUGAAGUCUUCGGACGUGCUCCACGGGACGGAAACGUCUUGUGGCGUGAAGAAGUUGCCUAAACUUGGUCAUUUAGAGGAAGUAAAAGUCGUAACAAGGUU